rnacentral:rRNA from 1 species
ACGCUCGACACCUACGGGAGGCAGCAGUUGGGAAUAUUGGACAAUGGAGGAAACUCUGAUCCAGUGACGCCGCGUGAAGGAAGAAGGUCUUCGGAUUGUAAACUUAUUUUGUCAGGGAAGAAAAAUGACUGUGCCUGAAGAAAAAGCACCGGCUAACUACGUGCCGCAGCCGCGGUAAUCUGAGCGGGCUGGCAAGGC